CCUACGGGAGGCAGCAGUGAGGAAUAUUGGUCAAUGGUCGGGAGACUGAACCAGCCAAGCCGCGUGAGGGAUGAAGGUACAGAGUAUCGUAAACCUCUUUUGUCAGGGAACAAAGGCGGGGACGCGUCCCCGGAUGAGUGUACCUGAAGAAAAAGCAUCGGCUAACUCCGUGCCAGCAACCGCGGUAAUAGGGAGGAUGCGAGGGUUACCCGGUUUUAUUGGGUUAAAGGGGUGGGCAGGCGGUCUGUUAAGUCAGCGGGCAAAGCCCGGGGCUCAACCCCGGCCCGCCGUUGAAACUGGCAGUCUCGAGUUGGAGAGAGGUAAGCGGAAUGCGCGGUGUAGCGGUGAAAUGCAUAGAUAUAGCGAAGAACACCGAUUGCGAAGGCAGCAUGCCGGCUCCAAACUGACGCUGAGGCACGAAAGCGUGGGUAUCGAACAGGAUUAGAUACCCCGGUAGUC
rnacentral:rRNA from 1 species